UACGGAGGGGACUAGCGUUGUUCGGAAUUACUGGGCGUAAAAGCGCACGUAGGCGGAUUUGUAAGUCAGGGGUGAAAUCCCGGGGCUCAACCUCGGAACUGCCUUUGAUACUGCAAAUCUCGAGUCCGGAAGAGGUGAGUGGAAUUCCUAGUGUAGAGGUGAAAUUCGUAGAUAUUAGGAAGAACACCAGUGGCGAAGGCGGCUCACUGGUCCGGUACUGACGCUGAGGUGCGAAAGCGUGGGGAGCAAACAGG
rnacentral:rRNA from 1 species